AGAGGAUAAAGAGGUAAACUGCAGUUGGUACAGGAAUGACAAUGGCUUCCCCUGUCUUCCUUUGUGUCAGCUUCACCAGGCACUAAGUAUUCAGGAACACAUGGUCUGCUUCUCCCCUUGACCCACAGGUGCUCACUGCCCUCAACAGAGGCCUCAGGCUCUCUGGCAGAGCUCCAUGGCCUCCCAGCCUGGGCCCUGUCUUCCUCCACACACUGACUCUGUGUCUUCCUUCCAUAGGACCAGCCCGUCCCUCUCCCAGCCCUGAGCAAGGCUGGUGUGCAGCCUGGGAACAUGGGGACAGGAUAAGAGUGACCUCCCUGGCUAUACUCCCAGGCAUCAGUCUUGGUCAAUUCACCUAUGGAUUCCCACCUUAGACCUGCAGACUUGUAGUCCUUUCAUGAUAUUUCAGAGCCUCCUGGAUUCCUCCUGGUACCCCAUGCUGAUAUCGUAAUGGAAACCAGACACCUGGCCUUCCUGUAGGCAGGCUGGUGGCUUCCUCUGGUCCCCAGGUUUCUUCCCAGCUGGAG
rnacentral:lncRNA from 1 species